UGCGGUGCUGGGAUGUAUCAUCUCGUUA
rnacentral:piRNA from 1 species